UAGGGAAUAUUGGACAAUGGGUGAGAGCCUGAUCCAGCCAUGCCGCGUGCAGGAAGAAGGCGCUAUGCGUUGUAAACUGCUUUUGCCAGGGGAUAAAAAGACCGUGCGCGGUUAAUUGAAGGUACCUGGUGAAUAAGCCACGGCUAACUACGUGCCAGCAGCCGCGGUAAUACGUAGGUGGCAAGCGUUGUCCGGAUUUAUUGGGUUUAAAGGGUGCGUAGGUGGCCCUGUAAGUCAGUGGUGAAAUAUCUCAGCUUAACUGAGAGGGUGCCAUUGAUACUGCAGGGCUUGAGUACAGAUGAGGUAGGCGGAAUUGACGGUGUAGCGGUGAAAUGCAUAGAUAUCGUCAAGAACACCGAUAGCGAAGGCAGCUUACCAAGCUGUAACUGACACUGAGGCACGAAAGUGUGGGGAUCAAACAGGAUUAGAUACCCACGUAGUCCCUGAGCGGGCUGGCAAGGCGCAU
rnacentral:rRNA from 1 species